rnacentral:rRNA from 2 species
GGAUCAAUGAGUUGGUCGUGCCUUUGGUAUGAACUGGCUUUAUUGGUUCUCACCUUCUAAUGAACCAUAAUGUCAUUCACUUGAUGUUUGGGGAAUUAGGACUGUUACCUUGAAAAAUUAGAGUGUUUAAAGCAGGCUCACGCUUGAAUACAUUAGCAUGGAAUAAUGAAAUAGGACAUCGCAUUCUAUUUUGUUGGUUUCUAGGAUCGAUGUAAUGAUUAAUAGGGAUAGUUGGG